CCUACGGGUGGCUGCAGUGGGGAAUAUUGCACAAUGGGCGCAAGCCUGAUGCAGCCAUGCCGCGUGUGUGAAGAAGGCCUUCGGGUUGUAAAGCACUUUCAGCGGGGAGGAAGGCGUUAAGGUUAAUAACCUUGGCGAUUGACGUUACCCGCAGAAGAAGCACCGGCUAACUCCGUGCCAGCAGCCGCGGUAAUACGGAGGGUGCAAGCGUUAAUCGGAAUUACUGGGCGUAAAGCGCACGCAGGCGGCCUGUCAAGUCGGAUGUGAAAUCCCCGGGCUCAACCUGGGAACUGCAUUCGAAACUGGCAGGCUAGAGUCUUGUAGAGGGGGGUAGAAUUCCAGGCGUAGCGGUGAAAUGCGUAGAGAUCUGGAGGAAUACCGGUGGCGAAGGCGGCCCCCUGGACAAAGACUGACGCUCAGGUGCGAAAGCGUGGGGAGCAAACAGGAUUAGAUACCCUAGUAGUC
rnacentral:rRNA from 1 species